rnacentral:rRNA from 1 species
UACGUAGGGGGCAAGCGUUGUCCGGAAUCAUUGGGCGUAAAGAGCGCGUAGGCGGCUCGGUAAGUCCGCUGUAAAAGUCCAGGGCUCAACCCUGGAAAGCCGGUGGAAACUGUCGAGCUAGAGUCCGGAAGAGGCGAGUGGAAUUCCUGGUGUAGCGGUGAAAUGCGCAGAUAUCAGGAGGAACACCAAUGGCGAAGGCAGCUCGCUGGGACGGUACUGACACUGAGACGCGAAAGCGUGGGGAGCAAACAGG